ACUGCUUUCUGGUUCAUAAUCAUGAUAAUUGAGUAUUCAUGUGUUUGUGUGAUAUGUUCCUCCCUUAAACCUUGUUGUAAUAACAGCAUUAAUUGUGGGGGG